rnacentral:rRNA from 1 species
UACGUAGGGUGCAAGCGUUGUCCGGAAUUAUUGGGCGUAAAGAGCUCGUAGGCGGUUUGUCGCGUCGGCUGUGAAAACACGGGGCUCAACUCCGUGCCUGCAGUCGAUACGGGCAGACUAGAGUUCGGUAGGGGAGACUGGAAUUCCUGGUGUAGCGGUGAAAUGCGCAGAUAUCAGGAGGAACACCGGUGGCGAAGGCGGGUCUCUGGGCCGAAACUGACGCUGAGGAGCGAAAGCGUGGGGAGCGAACAGG